UGGGGAAUUUUGGACAAUGGGCGAAAGCCUGAUCCAGCAAUGCCGCGUGUGUGAAGAAGGCCUUCGGGUUGUAAAGCACUUUUGUCCGGAAAGAAAUCCUUGGCUCUAAUACAGUCGGGGGAUGACGGUACCGGAAGAAUAAGCACCGGCUAACUACGUGCCAGCAGCCGCGGUAAUACGUAGGGUGCAAGCGUUAAUCGGAAUUACUGGGCGUAAAGCGUGCGCAGGCGGUUUGCUAAGACCGAUGUGAAAUCCCCGGGCUCAACCUGGGAACUGCAUUGGUGACUGGCAGGCUAGAGUAUGGCAGAGGGGGGUAGAAUUCCACGUGUAGCAGUGAAAUGCGUAGAGAUGUGGAGGAAUACCGAUGGCGAAGGCAGCCCCCUGGGCCAAUACUGACGCUCAUGCACGAAAGCGUGGGGAGCAAAGCAGGAUUAGAUACCCUGGUAGUCCACGCCCUAAACGAUGUCAACUAGUUGUUGGGGAUUCAUUUCCUUAGUAACGUAGCUAACGCGUGAAGUUGACCGCCUGGGGAGUACGGUCGCAAGAUUAAACUCAAAGGAAUUGACGGGGUCAUAGCUGUUUCC
rnacentral:rRNA from 1 species